GAGCAGAAGAAGAUUCUCAAAACAGGCAGUGUAGGUCAUAGAUGGAUUUUCAUAUUUAUUACUGGGGUGGUGCCAGAAAUUUUAGGGGGGUGAGCCGUUAGCAGGUGACUGAAGCAACACAAAGUGUCACCAAACCCCAGUAAGGUCUAUAUUCUAGGGGUGGAGCACUAGAGCUGCGAGGGGGAGUCUAGAGAGCAGAAAACAAAGUAUCCCAGGAAAAAUUUGAAAAAAAAACAUG